CAAACGGCGAAAGCAUGGAUGACCUUUCCCCACUGUACAUUGCAUAAUAUAUAUUGUACUAAUGCCUACAUCUUUGUUGGUUUUAUGCCAUGGAAGACUUCUGGGUCAACGCUCGCCGCGGGGAUCGUGGUACAUGCGCUGAAGUCCGAGGCCGGUGCAGGAGAUGCCGGGAGGAUCUGCUUUGAUGGCGAGCUACAGUUGAAGGAUACCUGGAUCAGAAUCAAACCACUUCACACAAAAUAUGCUACUGCAACAUGUCAGUGCAACAGGGCAGACUCCAUGGAAGAGGACCCGCUCCCUUUCUAAACAUAAAGGGCUCACUAAAAGUUACACCAAUAAAACACAGUCAUGAGUUAUGUAUUAAA